rnacentral:RNase_P_RNA from 1 species
GUGGAAGACUGGACGGCCGCACCCGAAAGGGUGAGGAAAGUCCGGACUCGCCAAAGCAUCGGUGCCGGGUAACGCCCGGGCAGAGCAAUCUGACGGAGAGCGCCACAGAAAACAGACCGCCGCAUUUCGAUGCGGUAAGGGUGAAACGGUGGGGUAAGAGCCCACCGGGGGCAUGGCAACAUGGCCCGCAUGGCAAGCCCCACCGGGAGCAAUGCCAAAUAGGAACCUCGCGUCCGGCUGAUCCGCUUGCGGAUAUCGGGGCAGGGCGGCUUUGGCCUGAGAGGUUCGGGUUGGCAGCAAGAGUCUCGUGGCAACGCGGGGCCCAGAUGAAUGGUCGUCGAGCCCGGGGGAGACCCUUGGGGGAACAGAAUCCGGCUUAUAGGUCUUCCACGCGU